rnacentral:tRNA from 1 species
GUCCCUGUAGUGCAAUAUAUAGCGUGUUGAACUUCUAAUUCAAAGGUCAUGGGUUCGAAUCCCACCUGCGAUG